UGCAGUCGAGGGGUAACAGGGUUUGCUUGCAAACCGCUGACGACCGGCGCACGGGUGCGUAACGCGUAUAGAACCUACCCUUUACAGGGAGAUAGCCCGGAGAAAUCCGGAUUAAUAUCCCAUAGUACUAUUAUUUGGCAUCAUAUGAUAGUUAAAGUUUUAACGGUAAAGGAUGGCUAUGCGUCUUAUUAGCUAGUAGGUAAGGUAACGGCUUACCUAGGCUACGAUAAGUAGGGGCCCUGAGAGGGGGAUCCCCCACACUGGUACUGAGACACGGACCAGACUCCUACGGGAGGCAGCAGUGAGGAAUAUUGGACAAUGGGCGCAAGCCUGAUCCAGCCAUGCCGCGUGCAGGAAGACGGCCCUACGGGUUGUAAACUGCUUUUAUACAGGAAGAAUAAGGGGUACGUGUACCCUGGUGACGGUACUGUAAGAAUAAGGACCGGCUAACUCCGUGCCAGCAGCCGCGGUAAUACGGAGGGUCCGAGCGUUAUCCGGAAUCAUUGGGUUUAAAGGGUCCGCAGGCGGGCGAUUAAGUCAGGGGUGAAAUGCUGCAGCUCAACUGUAGCACUGCCCUUGAUACUAGUUGUCUUGAGUCAUAGUGGAGUGGCUGGAAUAUGUAGUGUAGCGGUGAAAUGCAUAGAUAUUACAUAGAACACCAAUCGCGAAGGCAGGUCACUAACUAUCGACUGACGCUGAUGGACGAAAGCGUGGGGAGCGAACGGGAUUAGAUACCCCGGUAGUCCACGCCGUAAACGAUGGACACUAGCUGUCGGACCGUGCAGUCGAGUGCAGUCGAGUGCAGUCGAG
rnacentral:rRNA from 1 species